AAAAAAGUAACGAAGUCCGUGAGCCAUGCGUCAAGAAAAGCCGCUAUUGUUUAUACCGUACCCGUACCGUAAACCGACACAGGUGGAUGAGGAGAGAAUCCUAAGGCCGGCGGAAGAAGCAUUGUCAAGGAACUCGGCAAAAUGGCCCCGUAACUUAGGGAUAAGGGGUGCCUCAGAAAUGAGGCCGCAGAGAAUAGGCUCAAGCAACUGUUUAGCAAAAACACAGGUCUAUGCGAAACCGAAAGGUGAGGUUUAUGGGCUGACGCCUGCCCGGUGCUGGAAGGUUAAGAGGAGAGGUUAGCGCAAGCGAAGCUUUGAAUUUAAGCCCCAGUAAACGGCGGCCGUAACAAUAACGGUCCUAAGGUAGCGAAAUUCCUUGUCGGGUAAGUUCCGACCCGCACGAAAGGCGUAAUGAUUUGAGCGCUGUCUCGACAAUGCAUCCGGUGAAAUUGAAGUACCAGUGAAGAUGCUGGUUACCUGCGCCAGGACGGAAAGACCCCAUGGAGCUUUACUCCAGUUUGGUACUGGGACUCGGUAUUGCAUGUACAGGAUAGGUGGGAGGCUAGGAGAUAGUAACGCCAGUUAUUAUGGAGCCGCUGUUGGGAUACCACCCUUGCAGUAUUGGGUUUCUAACCAGCCGCCGUGACCCGGCGGUGGGACAAUGCCAGACGGGGAGUUUGACUGGGGCGGUCGCCUCCGAAAGGGUAUCGGAGGCGCCCAAAGGUUCCCUCAGAAUGGACGGAAACCAUUCGAAGAGUGCAAAGGCAGAAGGGAGCUUGACUGCGACACCGACGGGUGGAGCAGGUACGAAAGUAGGGCUUAGUGAUCCGGUGGUAUUAAGUGGGAAUGCCAUCGCUCAACGGAUAAAAGCUACCCUGGGAUAACAGGCUUAUCACUCCCAAGAGUUCACAUCGACGGAGUGGUUUGGCACCUCGAUGUCGGCUCAUCGCAUCCUGGGGCUGUAGUAGGUCCCAAGGGUUGGGCUGUUCGCCCAUUAAAGCGGUACGCGAGCUGGGUUCAGAACGUCGUGAGACAGUUCGGUCCCUAUCCGGCGUGGGCGUAGGAUAUCUGAGAGGAGCUGUCCUUAGUACGAGAGGACCGGGAUGGACGGGCCGCUGGUGCAUCGGUUAGACUGCCAAGUCUACGGCCGAGUAGCCAAGCCCGGAAGGGAUAAACGCUGAAGGCAUCUAAGCGUGAAGCCCCCCUUAAGAUGAGAUAUCCCAUUCGAAAGAGGUAAACCCCCUUGAAGACGACGAGGUAGAUAGGGCAGAGGUGGAAGUGCAGUAAUGCAUGGAGCUGACUGUUACUAAUCGGGUGAGGGCUUGAA
rnacentral:rRNA from 1 species